rnacentral:rRNA from 1 species
AUUGAACGCUAGCGGGAUGCCUUACACAUGCAAGUCGAACGGAGUGGCGAACGGGGGAGUAAUGUAUCGGAACGUGCACAGUAGCGGGGGAUAACUACGCGAAAGCGUAGCUAAUACUGCAUACUAUUGGAGCGGCAGAUAUCGGAAUAGGGAGUUGGUGGGGUAACGGCUCACCAAGGCGACGGACCGUAGCUGGUUUGAGAGGACGACCAGCCACACUGGGACUGAGACACGGCCCCGACUCCUACGGGAGGCAGCAGUGGGGAAUUUGGGACAAUGGGGGAAACCCUGAUCCAGCCAUCCCGCGUGUGCGAAGAAGGCCUUCGGGUUGUAAAGCACUUUUGGCAGGGAAGCGGUACCUGCAGAAUAAGCACCGGCUAACUACGUGCCAGCAGCCGCGGUAAUAC